UACGGAGUGUGCAAGCGUUACUCGGAAUCACUGGGCAUAAAGAGCACGUAGGUGGAAUCGCAUGUCGGUGGUGAAAUCCCCCAGCUCAACUGGGGAGCUGCUUCCGAAACUGCAAUUCUUGAGGACGAGAGGGGAGAGUGGAACUUCUGGUGGAGCGGUGAAAUGCGUAGAUAUCAGAAGGAACACCGGUGGCGAAAGCGACUCUCUGGCUCGUAUCUGACACUGAGGUGCGAAAGCGUGGGUAGCAAACAGG
rnacentral:rRNA from 1 species